rnacentral:rRNA from 1 species
CCCUUAGAUGUUCUGGGCCGCACGCGCGCUACACUGUUCGACGCAGCGAGUCUUAACCUUGACCGAAAGGUUUGGGUAAUCUUCAGCAAAGUCGAACGUGAUGGGGAUCGAUCAUUGCAAUUAUUGAUCGUGAACGAGGAAUUCCUAGUAAGUGCAAGUCAUCAGCUUGCGCUGAUUACGUCCCUGCCCUUUGUACACACCGCCCGUCGCUACUACCGAUUGAAUGGUUUAGUGAGAUCUCUGGAUUGAGGCUGGCUAGGGGGCGACCCUUGGCCAGACUGUUGAGAAACUGCUCAAACUUGAUCAUUUAGAGGAAGUAAAAGUCGUAACA